rnacentral:rRNA from 1 species
CAGUAGCCGCGGUAAUACGAAGGGGGCUAGCGUUGUUCGGAAUUACUGGGCGUAAAGCGCACGUAGGCGGAUAUUUAAGUCAGGGGUGAAAUCCCGCAGCUCAACUGCGGAACUGCCUUUGAUACUGGGUAUCUUGAGUAUGGAAGAGGUUAGUGGAAUUGCGAGUGUAGAGGUGAAAUUCGUAGAUAUUCGCAGGAACACCAGUGGCGAAGGCGGCUAACUGGUCCAUAACUGACGCUGAGGUGCGAAAGCGUGGGGAGCAAACAGGAUUAGAUACCCCUGUAGUCCCUGUCUCUUAUAC